rnacentral:ncRNA from 1 species
UAAAAUGCUUUGAUAAGAAAGAGUAGGAUACAGGUUGUCUUUACAGAGAGUUCCCGGUUGGUGAGAGGGUCAGGAAACGGUAUUUGAAUACGUCUUUGAGCAGAAGGUCAAAUCCUUAUAUUUAAGGUAGUAGACUGUUUACGGAGCCCUUCACCCGUUAUAGUGAUAGAGUAUCGUUUGAUAAAAACCGUACUUGAAGAGGUUGAUAUGGUGACAUAUUGAUAAAUUAAGGUGGUAACACGGGAAUAUACUCCCGUCCUUUAG